GUCCAUUUCUGGGAGGUAAUUUUUAAUUUUGGUACCAAUUUUUAGUAUAAUAGCGUCUACAUCCAUUAUCAGGAAUCUUGGAGUGUAUGUUUGCGUUUUUAAUAUUACCCGUCAAUGAUAUUUGAAUAGAUACCGCAUACAGUCAGCCGAUAAGGUCUGAAUUCCACCUAUUAUCUAAUAAAGUUCCCUUAAAUUUAAAAAUAAUAUUAUAUAUAUUUUUUUCUUAUUCUCUCCCAUCUACUCAAGUAAUAAAUAGGUAAAGGUAAUUAUAAUUUAUACGGUAAUAACGUAUUAUUUAAAAAAAUGUUUGUGUUUUCAUCGCCAGGAGUCUGGAGUAGUCACGCACGGUGCUUAAUAUUUAUAAUUUAUAAAGUUAUUGAUUUUGUUUCGAAUAGUGGCUGUAAAGUACAAAGUGAAAGGGAAAUGAUUGGGAUCCAGCAAAGGAACGUUUACCGUGUGUCGAGUAGAUGAAUUUCCGGGAACGAUGAUAUUAUUUUAUUUGUGUUGAACCGCAAUCAAUAAGUCAGUCCCGCGCCGUAAUGAUAUGCUAUGUCUGUCAAUCAUCUCCAUAUUUUCGGUUUGGCGAUGGUGUCCGAUUACUUUACAAAGUCACGCCACGCCCGGGCCGUUGCCGGGCAACGAUAUGCCACCGCAGUCGGCAUUUACGAUGCCGAAACGACGACGACACUGCAGCGAUCACUGCUCAUUGACAAACGGUGCGCCCAUGACGUCGUUGCAAAUUACAUAAUUUUCGUCAUGGGCGCACCGUUUGAAGUUCAGCCGCCAUCGUUUUACGUUUCACGGUCAGGCCUAACUCGCCUGAUUCCUCGGACGCUGCAGCACUCUGCUGGUUGUCUGGCACUUGCGAACCGCCUACACCUGUUGCACUCUCGUCAUGUGGACUUGUCCGAACUUUUCGGACGUUUUUGUAACGAAUAGUAACAAAGUUACCAAAGUAACAAAGUUACACACAAUGCUAUCAAUAGACUAGUCAAUAAACACGCUUUGCAUGCUGAGAGCUUACAAAAGAAAUCCUGCGUUCCCGUUUUCUUUACCGUCGACUAUACAAUUUAACAUCUACUACCCUGUAAAAAUGGAAAAAGAUGAUUAAAAACUUGCAAAAAAUCUACUUCAAUGAGGUAAUUUAUUGAAGUUUUAAGACCGUUUUAUGAUUUUUACCAUUUUAAUGAAAUUGAAAUAAAAAGCUCAACUCAUCAAAAUGUUCAGAGUAUAUUCAUGAAGAAGGUUAAUUUAAAAUUAUUACUUCAGCUUAGUACAGUUGAACAAAAUAUUUCAUAGUAAAUCAACUAAACAAUCAUUGGAUAGUGAAUAUUCAACGACUAAUAAUCAACGUGUGGAACGAAACCUUAUAAUUUAUAAUAAUGACAUCAUUCGGACUGAUGUGUGUGCUCUAAGUAUGUAAAGUAUUGUAAACAUAUAAAAUGUUUGAAAAAUAAUAUAACAUCAUUAAAAUUAUGAAAAAUUUAAUAUAGAUAGAUUAUUAUUGAAUUUAAUAUAGAUUAUUUUAUUAAGUGUAAAUUAAGAAAAUGGUUGUGUAUUUUUUUUCUUUUUUAUAUGAUUUUCUAAGUGAGGUAUCAAAAGAAUUCUAAAAAAAUUCUUAUAAUCCUUACUUAUUAUCAAAGAACCACACUUAACUACCUCAUUACAAUAUAUUUGUAUAAUAAGUUAAAGUAUUAUUGGAUAUAAUAUGAAAAUGUGUGUAAUAAAUAUAAUUAAAGCUUUUAAUAUUUGUUAAUAUAUUUUAGAUGAACUUAAUUUACAACUAAAAUAUUUUAAUUAUACUGCUCGAAUUUUGCUCUUCAAGUACAAUUAACCUACAGUAAUUUUGGAGAACUUAAUUUUUAACUAAUUAUCUAUAUUAAUGUUGACCGUCUUUGUGUAAUUGCAUGUUUUACAUUUUAGUAAGCGGUUUAUUUAAUUACUAUUAACGUUUAAUAAUAUGUGAAAUAGUAUAUAUUAUAUACAAAUACACUUUUAUAAUUAAUCUUUUAUAUUGAAUAUAUUAAUACAAAGUA